rnacentral:lncRNA from 1 species
GAUCCCCAUUGCAGGGCGGGGAGGCACCCACCGCGAGGGGGAGACUGAGAGCCAGUCCCUCCCACCCCCGGCUCUUAGGACUCGCAUCGCAAGCGGGGGAGGCACGCCACGCGAGGCGGGGACUGAGAGCCAGCCCCCCUUCCCCCCGGGCUUAGGACCCCCAUCGCGGUUCCUAAGAUCCUUAGGACCCACCUGGAGGACUGGGUCCGAACGCAGCCCGGGAAAAGAAAGAAAGCAGGACCCCCAUCGCAGGAGUCGGAGGCACCCCCCGCGAGGCGGGGACUGAGAGAGAGCUCCUCUUCCCCCCCAGGAUCUUAGGACCCCCAUCGCGGGGGGGGAGGCACUCCCGCCAGGAUCCCCAUCGCAAGGGGGGAAGACACCGCCCACGAGUCGGGGACUGAGAGCCAGCCCCUCUUCCCCCGCUGGCUUAGGACCCCCACCGCGGAUUCUAAGAUCCUUAGCACCCACCUGGAGGACUGGGGGUUUUAGGUGUCCAAGAAGAAAGCUCAGACCUGCCGACCGCAGGACCCCCAUCGCGGAUCCUAAGAUCCUUAGGACCCAACUGGAGGACUGUGGGUAUUAGGUGCCCAAGAAGAAAGCUCAGAUCUGCCGACGUUACUUGGGAUUUACUAUCCGACAGGUGUCCGAACACAGCUCGAGAUCAGAAAGAAAGCAGGGGUCCGAACGCAGCCCGGGAUCAGGAAGAAAGCAGGUCGUUUGCAAUCUACCGGAGCCUAAGGGCAGAAGGCAGGAUCGUGGGAACAAUAUCCCAGGGGGGUUUCCACUUUCUGCCAUAUAUGUAGUCACAUCGCCCACUCCGCCUUGGAAUAUUAUUAAGGACCAUCUAACACGAGGGUGUAUACGUCCUGCGAUAUUACGAGUAAUAUCAACUUCUUGGCCUCUGAAUAUGAGGAAGAAUAUCACAGGGGGUCCGAAUGCAGCCCGGGAUCACAAAGAAAGCAGGUCGUUUGCAAUCUACCAGAGCCUAAGGGCAGAAGGCAGGAUCGUGGGAACAAUAUCCCAUGGGGGUGUACCCUUUCUGCCAUAUAUGUAGUCACAUCACCCACUCCGCCUUGGAAUAUUAUUAAGGACCAUCUAACACGAGGGUGUAUACGUCCUGUGAUAUUGGGAGUAAUAUCAACUUCUCGGCCUCUGAAUAUGAGGAAGAAUAUCACAGGGAUAUUAAUAACAAUUUCACAGGCUGGGUGAACACAGCCGGCGAUGCUGAAAUUAUUAUCAUCCUCUCCCCCUCUUCCCCUCCUGGCUCUCAGUCCCCGCCUCACGGGUUAUGUAGCGGGUUAUGGCAAGAAGACAAACUGCAGUUUCCUGCACAGAACAGCACAAACAAUGAUCCAAGCUCAGUUACAACACAAUAUUGGUCAUCAUUUGACCAUGGACUUCAAUAUCAACCCUUAGAAACCUUCCUAAAACAGGUCAGCAAAACACCAAGAAGCAAUAUCCUGAAUGAUAGGAAAAUAUCCUUGCUUGUGCAAAUUGUUUCCACUUAAUUUUUUUCAACAAAUGUUAAUUAUAUUUUUACUUUCUAAAAAUUUUUAAUAAAAUAUAGCCUACUUGGUUAAAAAUGGUGUCAAAGCUUUUCUAAAAGUUAAGGCAUUACAUAAUUCAGUGGCCCCUGUGGCUGCCAUGGAUAAUUCUUUUUUUUCUGUUCAUCUUCAAAGAAGGGAAUUCAGAAUCAGGAAAAGAUCUUUGGAAA